AACGAACGCUGGCGGCAGGCCUAACACAUGCAAGUCGAACGACAUAGUGGCAGACGGGUGAGUAACGCGUGGGAACGUACCUUUCACUACGGAAUAGCUCCGGGAAACUGGUGGUAAUACCGUAUACGCCCUCAGGGGGAAAGAUUUAUCGGUGAAAGAUCGGCCCGCGUUGGAUUAGCUAGUUGGUGAGGUAAUGGCUCACAAAGGCGACGAUCCAUAGCUGGUCUGAGAGGAUGAUCAGCCACACUGGGACUGAGACACGGCCCAGACUCCUACGGGAGGCAGCAGUGGGGAAUCUUGCACAAUGGGCGAAAGCCUGAUGCAGCCAUGCCGCGUGAAUGAUGAAGGCCUUAGGGUUGUAAAAUUCUUUCGUCAGGGAUGAUAAUGACCGUACCUGAAGAAGAAGCCCCGGCUAACUUCGUGCCAGCAGCCGCAGUAAUAC
rnacentral:rRNA from 1 species